rnacentral:sRNA from 1 species
UAAUUAUAACCUUUUUUAUUUUUAAAUAUAUUUUUGCCGUUUACCAUUAUAUAUUACCAAUACCGUUUAAAAAUUUUUAAUGGGUGCAAUAACCCAGGCGUUUUAUUAUAUUUUAUUUUAUUGCGUUAAUAUUCGCGAUAAUUUUUAAUAUAACGUUUAACGUUUCGAUUUCGGUCGGGUUAUUAAUAAUUCUUUUUUAGACGGUUAAAAAUUUUAUUUUGGCUUUUAUAGCCGAAAAUUUUGGAUCUAUAAAUUUCGCGGAUAAAAGCCGUUUUUAAAAAGAUUUUGCUAUUUUGGUUAAUUUCGGGUACCGUUAAUAAAUUAUUGUAAUAAUUUAAAUUUUAUUUCAGGUUUUUUUCCAAAAUAAAAAUUACCAAAUUAAUUCCUUACGGUGCGGAAAAUUCCAAAUUGUUAAUAAUUAAAAAAGGUUCGCCGGAUCGAAAAUCGAUUUUUUUUGGAAAAAUUAAUAUAAUAAUGCGGUUUAAUACAAUUCGGGUUUUAACCGUAAAAUUAUUAAUAAUUUUGCGCGAAAAAAUAUCGGUUACCACAUUAUUUUUACCGGGACGGUAUUUAAAAAUAAUAUCGAAAUUAACCAAAUAAUUAACCCAUUAUAUUUGACGAACGGACAAAAAUUUUUUAAUUAAUUAAUAAAUUAGGGCCUGGUAAUUGGUAAAAAUACAAAAUUUGGUACCUAAUAGGGCUGGUUCGAAAUUCUUUAGCGUAUUAAUUACAAUUAAUAAUUCCUGGUCCCUAAUCGGAUAUUUUUAUUUAAUAAAAAAUAUAAUUUUGGACGAAUAACCAAUUGGUUUCUAAUUAUUAUCGUUUUAUUAUUAUUAUAUAAUA